rfam:Hanseniaspora osmophila strain AWRI3579 Hanseniaspora_osmophila_AWRI3579_scaffold7, whole genome shotgun sequence.
GGUUGUUUGGCCGAGCGGUCUAAGGCGUCCGAUUCAAGUUAGCAAAGUUAGCUUUCCARUUGCAGUUAGCUGCAAUGGAACACUCGGAUAUCGUAAGAUGCAAGAGUUCGAAUCUCUUAGCAACCA